AUUGAACGCUGGCGGCAGGCCUAACACAUGCAAGUCGAACGGUAGCACAGAGAGCUUGCUCUCGGGUGACGAGUGGCGGACGGGUGAGUAACGUCUGGGAAACUGCCCGAUGGAGGGGGAUAACUACUGGAAACGGUAGCUAAUACCGCAUAACGUCGCAAGACCAAAGUGGGGGACCUUCGGGCCUCACACCAUCGGAUGUGCCCAGAUGGGAUUAGCUAGUAGGUGGGGUAAUGGCUCACCUAGGCGACGAUCCCUAGCUGGUCUGAGAGGAUGACCAGCCACACUGGAACUGAGACACGGUCCAGACUCCUACGGGAGGCAGCAGCGGGGAAUAUUGCACAAUGGGCGCAAGCCUGAUGCAGCCAUGCCGCGUGUAUGAAGAAGGCCUUCGGGUUGUAAAGUACUUUCAGCGGGGAGGAAGGCGGUGAAGUUAAUAGCUUCACCGAUUGACGUUACCCGCAGAAGAAGCACCGACUAACUCCGUGCCAGCAGCCGCGGUAA
rnacentral:rRNA from 1 species